CCAUCCUCUAAUCCGUAGCAUCCAAUGCCUAAUGGACAUGGUUGCGUCUUUCCGGUGCAACUGAGCCACUGUAACCAGCCGAGAACAAUCAACCCCGGGAAGAGCCCGCACAUCCACAAUGGUGGAAGACCUAGACUUAAUAUUUUCUUAGGAAUAUUUAAUUUAGGUCUCAUUAAACUUGACUUGACAUAGUCAUAACAAUUAUGACUAACCUAGUGGCAUGGGUUAGCUCGAAUUGUUAGCCACCUCUAAUCAGAACUGAGUCGACACAUAU
rnacentral:lncRNA from 1 species